rnacentral:lncRNA from 1 species
AUUCUACAUAAAUACUUCGGUCUGCCAGAAAAACUAGGCGAGACCAGAAGCUCAGAAAAUUUACAACUGAUACAUUUACUAUUACUACUGCGGAGAAUCUAAGAUUUACCAAUUUACAUACCAAAUCAAAUACAUCACCCGAUGAUGAAGGAGUCGGGUUACUGAAUAAGAGUCGCGGGAGAACUAACAGUCACGAAUCUGAAAAAAAACAUAAAUGGAGACUGUCAGUCUCGAGAGUGAGUUAAAAUCAAAUAAUCUAGGGACUAUUGCUUCUUCUCAGAAAACAUAGAUUAUUCAAAUCAUACUAUAAUCAUACCCUACUAUUUCCUUCACAUAAAAUAUUAAUCAUUCGAAUCAAAAUAUCAACCAUGCACGUAAAUACAAAUCACAUUAUAAUCAAAUACCAUAAUAAAUAAAUAAAUAAAAAUAUAUAUUUACUUUUACGGGACGAGUGGCUCGGUAGAACCCUAAACCCCAAAAUCUAGUAGCCAUUCGGCUCUCUUAAUCCAAUAAGACUGGCGCCCCGAGAGCAAUGCUCGACCAGGGACCUUACCUCCAGUCUGGUCACUUAAGUAUCCAAAUAAGAAAUCUAGUAGCCAUUCAGCUCUCUUAAUCCAAUAAGACUGGCGCCCCGAGAGCAAUGCUCGACCAGGGACCUUACCUCCAGUCUGGUCACUUAAGUAUCCAAAUAAGCCGGCGCCCCGAGAGCAAUGCUCGACCAGGGACCUUACCUCCGGCAAUUUACACAAAUCAGCCCAGAGAGCCAUGCUCGAUCAGGGCAAACCCAUGAAAAUCUUAUUACAUGUCCAUGAUCAUUACCGGUGUGCACACGGUCCUGAUGUAACCCAUCAGACGGCAUGUUCUACAAGCCACAUUUUCCAAUUCGCAAUCAUCACAUAUAAUAAAUAUCAUUAUCUGAUGAACUCAUCCAACACAUAUCGAAAUAAAGAUUAAAUAUUUAAGAUAAAACAACGUGCAAUUUGUGAGAGGAAAAAUAAUAACGUUUGUCUUAUUAUAACAUACUAAUAAUAAUAUUUAUAUUAUUUCAAAUAUUAAUAAUCAAGUGAAAUCAUUUAUUUUGCGAUACUAAUAAUCAUAUUAAGCACAAAUUCUAAAUAGCAUAUUAAAAUCAGACUAGCAAUAGCGCAAAGAUUAAAUGACUUUAACUCACAGGAUUGGGCGACCUCCUAGCUCUGCUCCGGUGCCUCGGUAGGAGCGAGCCGAACAGACAGAUCAUCUAAUCACGGAAAACAAUUUAUCAAUACGCUGAGACAAUCCAUCAUUAAUCCUAGGUCUAGACUCCUAGGACUGACUGUCUAAGAAUCUCGACUCGGGAGAAUUCUACCGAAAAUCCGGCAGAACCUCCCCUACAACACGAACAUUACCCCCCGUAAAAACGGGUCCAGGACCUGCCAGAAGAACACUUCAAAUACUUAACGAUUCAAACAAUAGGAGUCGGGUCCCCAAACUUCACUAUUUCCCGACUCCGCCACACAGCACAAAAUACGACUAUGGCAGGCAAACUGACAGACAAAUAUUUUUGACUCACAAAAAUCAUCAAAUACUCAAUAUAAUCCAAUAGACACAAAUUUAAAAUCAAGGAUUUCUAAGAUCAACGGCCAGAGAAAAUUACCGAGACACUCGGUCGACUCGCCUCCGGCCGCCGGAGUCCGAUCGACGAUCCGAACACACCAACGAACUCACAACGACGCGCUGAUGACGAUCCCUGCUUCCGAUUUUCCGAUCUGACACCCG